rnacentral:rRNA from 1 species
UACGGGGGGAGCAAGCGUUGUUCGGAUUUACUGGGCGUAAAGGGCGCGUAGGCGGCGCCGCAAGUCGACUGUGAAAUCUCCGGGCUUAACCCGGAAAGGUCAGCCGAUACUGCGGGGCUAGAGUGCAGAAGGGGCAACUGGAAUUCUCGGGUGUAGCGGUGAAAUGCGUAGAUAUCGAGAGGAACACCUGCGGCGAAGGCGGGUUGCUGGGCUGACACUGACGCUGAUGCGCGAAAGCUAGGGGAGCGAACGGG